rnacentral:rRNA from 1 species
UUGGAGGGCAAGUCUGGUGCCAGCAGCCGCGGUAAUUCCAGCUCCAAUAGCGUAUAUUAAAGUUGUUGCAGUUAAAAAGCUCGUAGUUGAAUUUCGGGAUCAAUAUAUCGGUCGUGCCUUGGUACGUUCUGGUAUCAUUGGUUUCUCCUUUCUGACGAACCAUGAUGUCAUUAAUUUGGUGUUAUGGGAAGUUAGGACUGUUACUUUGAAAAAAUUAGAGUGUUUAAAGCAGGCUUUAGCUUGAAUACAUUAGCAUGGAAUAAUGAAAUAGGACGUUCGAACCUAUUUUGUUGGUUUCUAGGAUCAACGUAAUGAUUAAUAGGGAUAGUUGGGGGCAUUAGUAUUCAAUUGUCAGAGGUGAAAUUCUUGGAUUUAUUGAAGACUAACCACUGCGAAAGCAUUUGCCAAGGAUGUUUUCAUUAAUCAAGAACGAAAGUUAGGGGAUCGAAGACGAUCAGAUACCGUCGUAGUCUUAACCAUAAACUAUGCCGACUAGGGAUCGGAUGAUGUUAAUUUUUUUAAUGACUCAUUCGGCGCCUUACGGGAAAC